rnacentral:rRNA from 1 species
UGGCGGACGGGUGAGUAAUGUCUGGGAAACUGCCCGAUGGAGGGGGAUAACUACUGGAACGGUAGCUAAUACCGCAUAACGUCGCAAGACCAAAGAGGGGGACCUUCGGGCCUCUUGCCAUCGGAUGUGCCCAGAUGGGAUUAGCUAGUAGGUGGGGUAACGGCUCACCUAGGCGACGAUCCCUAGCUGGUCUGAGAGGAUGACCAGCCACACUGGAACUGAGACACGGUCCAG